GAAUUAUAGAAUCGAAAAGGUUAAGGGAAAAAAUUUACCACGUGAACAUAAACUGCGAACAAAAUUUCGAGCCUUAUGUAGUAAAAAUAGAAAUCGGUAACCACUAAAGUUCUUUGGCAAAAAAGUUAAACAAAGAAUAAGGUAGGCGCCGCAAAUAAACAAGGACAAAAAUGAUAAAGCAAUCGUCGGCGUAAUGUCGUGCACGUACUAUCGUUUGCUCGAUCGCAACUAUAUCGCGUGUAUAGGACAAGAAACGUGCCUGCUGUUUGAUCGUCCGUAAAUCGAGUAAUGCUUUCACGUCGACCUAGUAACGGAACUUUUCGGCGCAAUUGUUUCACCGCACUCGAUAACAGUGAUGCUUCAAUAUUUACUCCAGAAGCGAAACCAAUUAACGAAUGAGGAAUGAAAAAAAGAAGGAAAGAAGCGAGACGAGAAAGGAACAGGAGGGAAGCGGGUAAGAGCGGUCGGCUACAUUCAUUGUCAGCGAACAGCAGAAAAAAGAAACAGAGCACGCGGAAUACGAGUCAAUAGAGCGGAAGAUGGAAUUUCCACUUCGCUAUAGAAAAAGUGAAACUAGUUCCCACGCGAGCGACGAUAAAAUAUUAAUGCUAUCGAUUGCACUGUGAAAAUGCAAGAAAAAAGUCGCUACAAAAUCAAUUUUUUUUUGAGCUUCACCGCAUAUUGCAUACGUGAGAGAAGACAGCUCGUGAUUUAUCGGUAUUGCGAUAAGAAACAGAGGAUACAGUCUCCACGGUGGUGACACGCUUCACCGGAUUCACAGAAAGUCCCCACGAUUGAUAUACGCGAUAGACAAUCUGCAUGGCUCGAAUUUUCCUUUGAUUUCAUUCACUGUUUCUUGCGUGCUGCUUUCGGUUGCAACUUCGGUGGCAGAAACGCAGAAGUUCGCGCGCACUUUUCAUGGUCGAACUACAGUGACGCGAGCAACUGGUUGCAUCGAUGACCACGAGCUUCGACUGUGGGAAAUGACGGAAGUUGGAAUGCUCGUGUAUCCGUUAGCGUGUUUCGUAAGCACGAAUUAGAUGAUAAAGGUUUUCAAGCGUGCGACGGUAGAAUUAAUUCCGCUAGUUGGUAACAGAUACAACAGGAAAAUAUAUCUCUCGAUUAUUUAAAUAUCUUGUCAGAUCAUCUCUUUUCUCCGAUCUUUCUGCAUCGAUGAAUUUAACGAUAUUCUCAACGAUAGUUAAAGGAAGUGGCUCGAUACUGAGAAAAAAUUGUCUUCCUAAGACAUACGUACGAAGCAAACAUCGUAGACAUUCUAAUCGAUGACAGUGAUGUCGUGCUCUCCUAUGAAUCAUGGCAUGACGGCUAAACGCAUAGCGCAGUAAACCGCAACGUCUGUUUUGAAAGUUAAUCGCUACGAUGCAGCAUUGAAAUUCGUAAUACGUGGCAGAGAGCCACAUCCAUCGCAUACGAAGUUUCGAUAAGUGGUCGACAAAACUACGACCGUCAAAACCGCAUAGAAAACUCCGUAUCUAGAAUGCUAGAUGCUCGCAGAAAUCCACGUCGCGAAUAGCUGUAAGCGAAAGGGAUUGCGCACGAAACCGAAUCGUAGCAAAUAUUUAUAUAGAAACUGCAACCGAGAAGCGCCGCGCAACAUUUACCAUUUUUCUCCUAAAUCCACGUAUAUGCGUCUGUUUCCACGAUACAGAAAUUUAAUAUGCAAAGCCUGGAUGGUACGCGUGUGAUCGGUACGCGGUUGCUGAAACUUGAUUUCAGAGAAGCGGGCAGGUUAACGCCGAAGAACGACUCGAUGACGAGUUGGAUUUUAAAUCUAGGCUAGAGUCGAUACCCGUUCGACGAGAACUACGCGGUAAGAGGACCAGCCACCGGUAAUAUCCGGACUGUUUUCACGUUCUACGCGACAACUUUUAGCGGAGCAAUGUAAUCUCGCUGUGGUACGUGUCAAGCACCGUGCGAUAAGACAUGGAACGUUACGAUAAUUGAAUACACAAUUGUUUCGACCGAUACCGAAACGCGGCGUGAAAACAGUGGUGCACGAUGGUUUCGCAGCAGGUAGCCUGGAAAUACGUCCGUUUAAACUCGAAUCGAAUGUUUUUCAAUCGAAAAUCCGUGUUCAUCGAGAUUGAUUCGAAGAAAUUCCAUCAAAGAUGAACUUGUUCUAUUGCAGACUUGCUCAUCGGAUACACGAUGAACGUAUUUUCCUUUACAAUUGGCGCAUGUUAUUCGAAAUUCUUGUAAAACUGUGGUCGGAUUGCAGUGGGUUUGCAGUCCAACACGCUCUCGUUCUUUUCAACAACGAAUACUUCUCUGUUCGUGGAAACGCGACGAAGUUUCUAGAUACUUGGCUUACUAGAGGCUUUUUGAAGGACUCUGCGGUACUGACCCACGGUGGAUUCCACUUUUAAACAAUCGACUUAUUUUUCUUUCCGCUGUUCUUUUUUUUUUUUUCAAGUUUAUCCAGUGUGCUCGAACGAGAAGAAUGCGAGGCAUUUGCGAAUCUGCGAAUCCAGGGGCGCUUGUUCUAGAAACACUUACGCGCAACGCGCCGAGAGAAUGGAAAAAGAGGUCGAAACUGUUACGGCAAUUGUGUGUGCGCGUUGUAAAGAUAACGACGCUCUCAUGGCAAUACCUGCACGGUUAUCAUUAAGACCAGCACCGGUUGAAAACGUUACGCGACCGAGAGACGCUGAGGUUGUUCGUCGGCGACGCCAGGCAUCCUACAUUUUCGUCCGGUUCCAGUUUGCUUACGCAACUUUCGCGGAUGUACAGUAAUGCACACACACGAUACAAAGGGAAAGAAUCGCUGGGAAAAAGAAGAGGAGCGUCGUGGAACGCGCACCAUUUCUGCCGCGUGGAAUUCGAGGAUCGUAAACAGUUGACAUUCGCUGCGAUUUAUGCGACUAUGAAUGGCUGACAUUUGAAUAUUACGCAGAUUUCUUCGACGAGCGCAGUCACGGCUAUGCUCGCGGCGUGUUACUGUUAUGACUGCCAUUAUAUAGAAUUUAUUCGUUGUACCGUUACACGGAGUGUUCGUUUACAACGGUGGCGUCCAAUUUUCAUCGCGAUGCGACCGACGAUAAUGAGGAAGGCGCCCGUGCCAGGUCCAAAUUCAGACGAACUCGUUUGAGCAUCAAUUUCGUCGUCAAAGAUCCUUCUCGCACGUAUAUAUGUAAAUACAUAUUACAUUUAAAGCAUACGUGAAUAUUAUGACAAUCAGAUGGAUACAGGUUUAUGGUAAUUAAGUGAGAAAAGGCUAUUUUAUAAAUCGUACGACCAAUGCGAUCAAGAAGCGAUAAAAAGAAGAAAAGAUUGUACGCUGGAACCGGUUGUGUAACGCUUUACGCGGUGUAGUAAAGAUGAUUCAUAUCAAGGAGGCACGCAUUUUCUGAAUGACCUAUAGAAACCUGUAUUUGCUUGCGUGUAUACCUACAUGUAUUCAGAAUUGUUCAACACGGCCAUCUUAUAUCACAGAGGA